rnacentral:lncRNA from 1 species
CCUACUUAUGGGAAGAGUCCCUUGUUCUCUUGUAUAAAUAAGGGGGUUGUCUAAUGCUAAGGUAAUACGCCGAUACAGAAUUCCCCUACACUUUCUUCUCUCUAGGUCUAACAUAUUUCAUACAUGGUUUCAAUCAAGACACACAAACUAAAAUUUGAAUCUUGAUGUAAGGGGAGCAACAAAACAAUAAAUAAGCACCACAACUAAGUGCAUUCUCUGAGCACCUACCGGAUUUUUGGAGGUGGUCCAACACAAAUAGAGGACCAGAAUAGUAAAUGACAACUAACAAUUGUUGUGCAUGGAAGAGAGCCAUUGAUUCGUCACCACCAAGUGCUACCUUUGGAAGCUUU